rnacentral:rRNA from 1 species
UGCCAGCCGCCGCGGUAAUACGGAAGGGGCGAACGUUAUUCGGAUUUACUGGGCGUAAAGCGAUCGUAGGCGGUUGAAUAGGUUAGAUGUGAAAGCCCUGGGCUCAACCCGGGAACUGCAUUUAAAACUGUUCAACUAGAGUUAUAGAGAGGAUAGUAGAAUUCCGAGUGUAGAGGUGAAAUUCGUAGAUAUUCGGAGGAAUACCAGUGGCGAAGGCGGCUAUCUGGCUAUAUACUGACGCUGAGGGUCGAAAGUGUGGGGAGCAAACAGGAUUAGAUA